rnacentral:rRNA from 1 species
UACAGAGGUCUCAAGCGUUGUUCGGAUUCAUUGGGCGUAAAGGGUGUGUAGGUGGCGCGCUAAGUCGGGUGUGAAAUUUCGGAGCUUAACUCCGAAACUGCAUUCGAUACUGGCGUGCUUGAGGACUGGAGAGGAGACUGGAAUUCAUGGUGUAGCAGUGAAAUGCGCAGAUAUCAGGAAGAACACCAACGGCGAAGGCAGCUCGCUGGGACGGUACUGACGCUGAGACGCGAAAGCAUGGGGAGCGAACAGG